AGCGUGAGUGAUGAAAACUCGACCUUAGGUAGGUCUUUUUUUUUGGACUGUUUUGGUUCAAAUGCUUGGGACUUGCCAAUGUUAGGACUUGUCAUAGUUACUCUGACACGCU
ensembl:snoRNA small nucleolar RNA SNORD46